AGGACGAACGCUGGCGCGCGCUUAAGUACGAUGCAAGUCGAGCGAGAACCAGGGCUUCGGCCCUGGGGACAGCGGCGAACGGGUGAGUAACACGUGGGUAAUCAACCCCCGACACCGGGAUAGCCCAGGGAAACUUGGAUUAAUACCGGAUGCUCCAUCUGGCUUUCGAGCCGGCUGGAAAAGGGUAGCUUCGGCCUCCGGUCGGGGACGAGCCCGCGGCGGAUUAGCUUGUUGGUGAGGUAAAGGCUCACCAAGGCGACGAUCCGUAGCUGGUCUGAGAGGACGAUCAGCCACACUGGGACUGAGACACGGCCCAGACUCCUACGGGAGGCAGCAGUAGGGAAUCUUGCGCAAUGGGCGAAAGCCUGACGCAGCGACGCCGCGUGAGGGAAGAAGGCCUUCGGGUUGUAAACCUCUUUCAGGAGGGACGAAGCCACUCGGGUUAAUAGCCCAGAGGGUGACGGUACCUCCAGAAGAAGCCCCGGCUAACUACGUGCCAGCAGCCGCGGU
rnacentral:rRNA from 1 species